GCUGGACAAGCUGGAUGAACUAGCUAGCUAAGCUAGGUGAGCUAAACCAGCUGUAAGACUAGCUAGCUCAGCUAGGUGAGCUGACCGACAGCUCGAUUGAGCUCGGUGAGCUAAUCAAGUACUGACCCAGCUGGGUGGUACGGUCAGCUGACACUCGAGCUGGUGGACUGUGGUAGCUCACGGGUGAAGAGGUGUCUCGGCCAAAAGGUGUAAGGUCGAGCGGGUACCAACGAACGGUUGCAUCGCCCAAAGGAUGCAAGGAACAGAUGUGACCUUUCGAAAGGAUGCAAAGAACGGAUGUGACAUUUCGGAAGGGUGCAAGGACCGGAUGUGAUGCUUCGGGAAGCAUCCAUUCGCCUCCUAUAUAAGGGAGGACGCCCAAGGCAUCUCACAUCAUCUCACAACAUCCAAAACACCAUAAAACAUUCUAAAAGGAGUCCCAACACAUCCUAGAGUUGUUGGUCGGAAAGGGGGUGCGGCUCGGCGAGUAUAACUCGACCGAACUGAUGCGCAUGCUACCUCCCGGUCCAAGGGUUCGAUGGAGUGUAGAGGAUGGAGAGGGUAGACCGUUCGUCUUAGAGACGAAUCGGAUCUGGUAGACCGAUCGUUGGAUCGGAUCGGCCAGACCGAUCGUCAGACGGAUCGGAUCGGCCAGACGGAUCGGACAGACCGAUCGUCGGACGGGUCAGAUGGGACAGGCCGAUCGUCUGACGGAACGGGUCGGACAGACCAAUCGUCGGAUGAGAUGGAUCGAGAAAAGUGUUCGAGGAAGCACAAGGAUAAGUGCAUCCGAACACACCCAAGGGUCGCCCAUGGAUGCAAUCUUACCG
rnacentral:sRNA from 1 species